UGGGAUGUGGUCUAACUGGCAUGACGCCCGGCUGUUAACCGGGACGGUGCAGGUUCGAAUCCUGCCAUCCCAGCCA
rnacentral:tRNA from 1 species